GGGAUGAACGCUGGCGGCGUGCUUAACACAUGCAAGUCAAGGGGGCCCAGCAAUGGGCAACCGGCGAACGGGUGCGUAACACGUGAGCAACCUACCGAAAUGUGGGGGAUAGCCGGCCCAACGGCCGGGUAAUACCGCAUACGCUCGAGACCAGGCAUUUGGACUCGAGGAAAUUUACGGAGCAUUUCGAGGGCUCGCGGCCUAUUAGCUAGUUGGUGAGGUAAGGCUCACCAAGGCGACGAUCCUUAGCUGGUCUGAGAGGAUGAUCAGCCACACGUGGGACUGAGACACGGCCAGACUCCUACGGGAGCAGCAGGUGGGAAUA
rnacentral:rRNA from 1 species